GGCGUAAAGCGUGCGUAGGUGUUUGUUUAGUCAGAUGUGAAAUCCCCCGGGCUCAACCUGGGACCUGCAUUUGAAACUGGCAAACUAGAGUAUAGGAGAGGAAAGUGGAAUUUCUGGUGUAGCGGUGAAAUGCGUAGAUAUCAGAAGGAACAUCAAUGGCGAAGGCAGCUUUCUGGACUAAUACUGACACUGAGGUACGAAAGCGUGGGUAGCAAACAGGAUUAGAUACCCUGGUAGUCCACGCCGUAAACGAUGAUAACUAGCCGUUGGGAGGGUUUACCUCUUAGUGGCGAAGCUAACGCGUUAAGUUAUCCGCCUGGGGAGUACGGCCGCAAGGUUAAAACUCAAAGGAAUUGACGGGGACCCGCACAAGCGGUGGAGCAUGUGGUUUAAUUCGAUGCAACGCGAAGAACCUUACCUGGUCUUGACAUACACGGAACUUUCCAGAGAUGGAUUGGUGCCUUCGGGAACCGUGAUACAGGUGCUGCAUGGCUGUCGUCAGCUCGUGUCGUGAGAUGUUGGGUUAAGUCCCGUAACGAGCGCAACCCUUAUCCUUAUUUGCCAGCACAUUAUGGUGGGAACUAUAAGGAGACUGCCGGUGAUAAACCGGAGGAAGGCGGGGACGACGUCAAGUCAUCAUGGCCCUUACGACCAGGGCUACACACGUGCUACAAUGGGAAGGACAAAGGGUCGCUAAGCCGCGAGGUGGUGCUAAUCUCAUAAACCUUUUCGUAGUCCGGAUCGGAGUCUGCAACUCGACUCCGUGAAGUCGGAAUCGCUAGUAGUCGUGGAUCAGAACGCCACGGUGAAUACGUUCCCGGGUCUUGUACACACCGCCCGUCAUACCAUGGGAGUGGGUUGCACCAGAAGUAGCUAGUCUAACUGUUACAGGGGACGGUA
rnacentral:rRNA from 1 species